rfam:Triticum aestivum genome assembly, contig: Triticum_aestivum_CS42_TGACv1_scaffold_376456_5AL
UUUGUACUCCCUCCGUCCCAAAAUUCUUGUCUUAAAUUUGUCUAGAUACGGAUGUAUCAAGAAUUUGUCUAGAUACGGAUGUAUCAAGAAUGUUGAUACAUCUGUAUCUAGACAAAUUUAAGACAAGAAUUUUGGGACGGAGGGAGUAUGUG